GUGUCCACUGUGGCAUCACAUAAAAAAUGGAAUGGAAGUAAGUGCCAAAUUUUAGCAUGGCCCCUGCACAAGAAUGACAGGCAAAUUCGUGAGGUGUUUCAUAUCUUU